rnacentral:rRNA from 1 species
UACGUAGGGGGGCAAGCGUUGUCCGGAAUUAUUGGGCGUAAAGAGCUCGUAGGCGGCCUGUUACGUCUGCUGUGAAAUCCCGGGGCUUAACCCCGGGCGUGCAGUGGAUACGGGCAGGCUGGAGGCAGGCAGGGGAGAACGGAAUUCCCGGUGUAGCGGUGAAAUGCGCAGAUAUCGGGAGGAACACCGGUGGCGAAGGCGGUUCUCUGGGCCUGUACUGACGCUGAGGAGCGAAAGCGUGGGGAGCAAACAGG